rnacentral:lncRNA from 1 species
UCGACUAGAAAAAUAUAAAAUAAGUGUAUCAAACACUAAAAUAUAAAAUAAGUGUAUCAAACACUAAAAUAUAAAAUAAGUGUAUCAUCGGCAAGCAAGUGUUGUGUACUAUUGUCAGUGCUUUGAGAUGAACUAUAAACACUCAGUUUCAUGUGUCUGUGUGGUGGAUAUUGUUUCAUAGUCAUGCCAUUUUUUUGGCUGAUUUAUGUCCUCUACUGCUGCAGUACUUGGGAGUUCCGUGAUGUGUAUUUUGUUGCUUUGUCACUUAUAGGUCAACUUGAUUACAUUUUUAGUUCACACAGAUUUCUUUUGAUUAAUUUUAAGCAACCCAAUGUUUAUUCUUGUUUUAUAGUACAUACUUUGUUAUUCUCUUUUAUAGGCAUUGCAAGAUUUAAGAAUUUUUGACAUGUAAUUCAUUUUUUAUGUUUAUUCUAAGUCUCUUAUUUCUACAAUCUAUUCAUAUAUACAAAUAUGUACUGUUGUAACUAUGUGUAUGAUUAGGUCCCAUGCUACUUGUUGCCACUUGUUGUUUCUUUUCACAUGUUUAAUUAAAUUUGUUGCACUAUGCACCCUGGGAGUGAAAAAAUAUAGAAUGUAGUAACAUGUACUCCCUCCAUAAAUAAAUAUAAGAGCGUUUAGAUAACUAAAGUAGUAGUGAUCUAAACACUCUUAUAUUUCUUUACAGAGGGAGUACUAAGCUACUUCUAGUUUACCUACUUGCUCUAAUAUUUUAUGAAGUGACAAAAUUUUCAUCAUCUGGCAGCUAUUGAUUUAUGGGAGCAUUUUCAGCAACAAAGACGUGUGUUUUGACGACUUCGGUAUGGACGGGCGGAUCUGUGGCUAGAAAAGCGGAUUGAUGGGGGCGGUGUUGGCUGUAGAGUAGCAUAGUGUUCUCCAAAACAUGCUUGUAAACUUAAUGUUAUUUGGGUAUUUUCUUUUUGGUCCUGUAGUGGUGUAUUUUUGGUUGUGUUUGUGUAAUUUUCUUUUUUUAGUGACAUGAGCAUAUAUUUUUUGUAAAAUUCUUAUUGGCUUAAAGUUUCAAUGGAGGCAGAAAUUCUUAUUGGCUUAAAGUUUCAAUGGAGGGAGAGAAAUGAGAGAUGAGCUAAUUUUCUUGACUGAAAUUAAUGGGCCGUAGAUGAAAUUAAUGCACUUAUAUUCUAAUUGGGUUGAUUACUAUAUGGGCCACUACUCUUACAUCUAGCUGAAAUUUAGUGGGCCAAAAUUUAAAUGGGCUGAGCAUUACAUGAG